UUAUCUUACGGCCGAGACUUCUUCUUUUGCCUACUCCAUCGCCGCAACGUGAACCUGAGACCUUGGAGGUCACCUCCUCUGUCCAAACAAGCCGAUCACCCAUCUUCCUCUCCCUUUUGUUCGUCCGCACCUUUUCCUCGUUCCGGCAGAAGCUGAGCAGUUGUAACGGUUGGGUGAGGUGGUGUAGGUGGAGCUCAGCAGUAGGCGAGGCAGCAACCUCGGUAGUGGUCUUCUCCGGCGAGCUCGGUCGACUGUGGUGGCGAUCUCGGCGAUCUCUCGACGCAACGGAGUUCCCGGCAGCAGCUUGGUUGGUGUUUGGAGCUUCUCGACGCUUCUCUUUCGUCGACGGCGGCGGAGCUUCGGACAGCAGCAACGGCCGUGAUGCAGGGAGGUGGUGGUGCGAGGCAUCUUCGGCAGAGGCGGAUCGCAGCAAGGGUGGCGCCUCCUCCUUUUCCUGCGAGUUUUGGGUCCCCGUGAGGCAGAGCAUGCACGGGCAGUAGCACGGGCAGAGGGUGUCUUGACGUUCUACCCGCGGGUUCGUCUGCUUGAAGAAGAAGAAGAUGGCAGUUGGUUCCCGUUUGGCUUAUGAGUUGAGCCUAACCUAAGUUGGCAUGGUUUUUGGAUGUUAAGCGAAUGAGAUUUGGUAGCUUUGGAGAGCGCACUAGUGGCCUGUAGAUA